rnacentral:lncRNA from 1 species
GACAAAGUUAUUCAUAUUAUUAUUUGUAAUAUUGACAAUGUCUAGAAGUUCUGUCAAGGAGAGGUUUGGUCACCUAAUUGCGCGCCAAUAAGGGGAAAUCCUUAUCGGAAAGCCCCCUCUUUCCUGGGAACGACCUAGUUGUUAAAUAUUGUGAGCUAUAAUAUUAAUGAUAACUAAGUUCGUGUUGAUUAAAGAUGAAAUUGAUAGUUCCAUUGUGUUGGGAUUAUUAGUGUUAGUGGAAAUCAACAUUUAUUUUGAUAAUAAUUGAUGUCUGGAAGUUAUAUUGACCAAUCGGGUAAUUAAUCAGAUAAAUGAGCAAUUAAUUGCUAUUAAUUCACAUACUUAUAACUAUGUGUUUACAUGUGCGUACUAUUGAUUCACAUGAUUUACUAUUAGGGGAAUUGGUGCAAGAUUGAUAAUACUUGCAUGACUAAGUUAAAAAUGGAGGUAUAGUUGAAGGUACUAUACUAUAAUUAAUUUUUUCACAUGUUUAGAACUAUUGAGUUAGAUGAUUUUCUAUUGAUUCGCAUGAUUUACUAUUAGGGGAGGUGGUGCAAGUUUGAUAAUACUUGCAUGACUAAAUUAUAAAUGAAUAAAAAGAUAAGGGUAUUAUACUGUAAUAUUUCGAGCCCCAGAAUAUACAAUUAUGGAAACUACAUUUUCCUAUAAAUAUGAACUCAUUCCUUCAUUAUUUUUCACCAAUUCACUACGUCUCACAAGAGCAAUUAUUAUAGAGAAAUUAUAGAGAGAGAAGCUAUAGAGAGAAAGAAGAAGCGAAGUCUGCUACUUCACUAUUCUAGUAUCCAGUCUUCUUCUGAGGUAAGAAAUAUCAUUAUUGUGUAAGGGAUAUUAUUCUUUCGUAUUCAUGAAGAGAGUUAUUUUCUUUCAAUACUCGUAAGGGUUGUUAUUCCAUUCUUUAUUAUUAUGUUGGAAUUACCUGUCUAUGCAAAGUACCGCAUACAUGGUGAAAUUCUUCUGUUAUUUCAUCCUUUAUUAUUCUGUUGGAAUAACCUAUCUGUGCGGUCUAUCACAUGCUUGGUGAAUUCUGUUGUUAUUCCAUUCUUUAUUAUUCUGUUGGAAUAUCUUGUCUGUGCGGAUUAUGCAUGACCUGGUUCCAUUCUUUAUUAUUCUGUUGGAAUAUCUUGUUUGUGCGGAUUACACAUGACCUGGUUCCAUUCUUUAUUAUUCUGCUGGAAUAUCUUGUCUGUGCGGAUUAUGCAUGACCUGGUUCCAUUCUUUAUUAUUCUGUUGGGAAUAACCUGUCUGUGCGGUCUAUCGCAUGCAUGGUGAAUUCUUCUGUUAUUCCAUUCUUUAUUAUUCUGUUGGAAUAACCUCUCUAUGUGGAUUACUGCAUGCAUGGUGAAUGAUCCUUUGUAUUCAUUCUUUAUUAAAUUAUGGAAAUGAUCUGUCUACGUGGAUUACCGCAUGGCGGGUGAAAAUCCAUUUGCAAUUUCGUAUAUUCUAUUAUACUCAUCUGGGAUAUAUUUUCUUUUGUACUCGUCAUGAAAUAUCGUUUUCUUUGGUAUUUUUCUGUUACGAGUUACUAAUCACGGGUUACUAUUCACCCAGUUACUAUUCACUCUAGUAUUAUUCACUCGGGUAUUCGGGCCACUUUUUGUGCCAGAAUACUAUUCACGAGUUACUAUUCACAAAUUACUAUUCACCCGAUUACUAUUCACUCUAGUAUCAUUCACUCGGGUAUUUGGGGUACUUUUCAUGUCGGGGUACUAUUCACGAGGUACUAUUCCUGAAGUACUAUUCAUAGGGUACUAUUCACAGGGUACAAUUUACCCGAAAAAUAUAUUUCUUUCUGUCCAAAUUAUUUUUGGUACAUGAAUAUUAUUCUUGAAUUUUACUCCACAAAGCAGUAUCAUGUUGACAAUUUGGAUAUUUUUAAACUCCGAAUAAAUUUAAAGUCUUUUAUAUCAUUGUAAUCAUCCUCAUGCUUAUAUUAUGAUGAAAGUCAUCUUUGGCUUACGUGCAAAGAUAAACUGUUGAUUAUUGAUUUUAUAGUUGUAUAUCUUUGGCUUAUGUGCAAAGAUGGACUGUUGAUUAUUGGUUUUACAGUUGUAUAUGUGAGACCCCGAAUCUUAUGAAAUAAAAGUAUUCAAUUUUCUUAUUAUUAUUUUAUUUAGUAAAUUGUUAAAUUGAGAAAGGGUUAAAGUUAAGGGUGAUAUUUAAAAAUUUUACAAAGUAAGCAAGUUGUUAUUCGUUUGGUUGGAGAAUAUUCUUUUUGUCGGGGAAUAUUCGUACGAUGGCACAAUCAUUGGUGGACCCCACAAUGGAAGUAUUGUCGUAAUAAGAAAACGACAGAAUUAUCUUUUUAUAAAAUUAACGGCGAAUGUGUUACCGUUAAAACUGUUGAACUACCCGGUAGUAAAAGUACAGUAAUAAGUGUGAUUUCAUAGUAGCACACGGUAUUGAUUAUUGAUGCUUACGUAAGAAGUCACUCAGUUAUACUCAAUUAUUGCUACAGUAAUUUCUACAUCAUAUCUCUCAUAUUGUUGAUUCAAUUAUUGUCACAGUAUCAUCUGCCUUAUUUAUAUUAUUAAAUCAAUAAUUAGCACGGCAAAGUUAUUCAUAUUAUUAUUUGCAAUAUUAACAAUGUCUAAAAGUUCUGUCAAUGAGAGGUUUGGUCACCUAAUUAUGCGCCAAUAAGGAGAAAUCCUUAUUGGAAAGCCCCUUCUUUCCUAGGAACGACCUGGUUGUUAAAUAUUAUGAAUUAUAAUAUUAAUGAUGAAUAAGUUCGUGUUGAUUAAAGAUGAAAUUGAUAGUUCCAUUGUGUUAGAAUUAUUAGUGUUAGUGAAAAUCGACAUUUAUUUCGAUAAUAAUUGAUGUCUGGAGGUUAUAUUGACCAAUCGGGUAAUUAACCGGAUAAAUGAGCAAUUAAUUGCUAUUAAUUCAC